rnacentral:rRNA from 1 species
AUACUGCUGAGCUAGGGACCGGGAGAGGCCGAGGGUAUUCCCGGGGUAGGGGUGAAAUCCUGUAAUCCCGGGAGGACCACCUGUGGCGAAGGCGCUCGGCUGGAACGGGUCCGACGGUGAGGGACGAAGGCCUGGGGAGCGAACCGGAUUAGAUACCCGGGUAGUCCAGGCUGUAAACGAUGCGGGCUAGGUGUCACCGGAGCUACGAGCUCCGGUGGUGCCGGAGGGAAGCCGUUAAGCCCGCCGCCUGGGAAGUACGGCCGCAAGGCUGAAACUUAAAGGAAUUGGCGGGGGAGCACUACAACGGGUGGAGCCUGCGGUUUAAUUGGAUUCAACGCCGGGAAGCUUACCGGGGGAGACAGCGGGAUGAAGGUCGGGCUGAAGACCUUACCAGACUAGCUGAGAGGUGGUGCAUGGCCGCCGUCAGUUCGUACUGUGAAACAUCCUGUUAAGUCAGGCAACGAGCGGGACCCGCGCCCUCAGUUGCCAGCGGGUCCCUUUCGGGGACGCCGGGCACACUGAGGGGACUGCCGGCGCUAAGCCGGAGGAAGGUGCGGGCAACGGCAGGUCCGUAUGCCCCGAAUCCCCCGGGCUACACGCGGGCUACAAUGGCCGGGACAAUGGGUACCGACCCCGAAAGGGGUGGGUAAUCUCCUAAACCCGGUCUAACCUGGGAUCGAGGGCUGCAACUCGCCCUCGUGAACCUGGAAUCCGUAGUAAUCGCGUCUC